rnacentral:rRNA from 1 species
CCUACGGGUGGCAGCAGUGGGGAAUAUUGCGCAAUGGUCGAAAGCCUGACGCAGCGACGCCGCGUGAGGGAUGAAGGUCUUCGGAUCGUAAACCUCUGUCAGCAGGGAAGAACGAUCCCUGUGCUAAUCAGCAGUGAAUUGACGGUACCUGCAAAGGCAGCACCGGCUAACUCCGUGCCAGCAGCCGCGGUAAUACGGAGGGUGCGAGCGUUAAUCGGAAUUACUGGGCGUAAAGCGCUCGUAGGCGGUAUGUCAAGUCAAGGGUGAAAUCCCCGCGCUCAACGUGGGAACUGCCUUUGAAACUGGCAAACUGGAGUGUGUGAGAGGAUAGUGGAAUUCCAGGUGUAGGAGUGAAAUCCGUAGAUAUCUGGAGGAACAUCAGUGGCGAAGGCGACUAUCUGGAACAUAACUGACGCUGAGGAGCGAAAGCGUGGGUAGCAAACAGGAUUAGAUACCCUAGUAGUC